GGCAACGUGGCGGAGUGGUUAUCGCGACAGCCUCGAAUUCUCUCGUAAGCUGUUUCCUUCGGGAGCGCAGGUUCGAAUCCUGCCGUUGUCG
rnacentral:tRNA from 3 species